CUUAGGACCUAAAGCUUUUCAAUGACGUUUGAUGACUGAAGACACUUUACAAUACAUGAUGUCUUACAACAAGUGAAGGCUGAAAAAAAGGAGGCCUCAAAGUUUGUAUUUGCUGUUUCUGCAAAACUGGCUCCGUUUGUGCUCCUGAUCAGCUUCGGGCAUUGCUCAUGGUGGAAAUCCCUGAGUUCGUCAGAGUGUCAAUUUAAUGAAUAAGGACAUACUUUUUGCAUUAGAAGAGUAGCUUCAAUCCUUGAAAAGCUUCAAGUCCUGAGCAGUGAACUGUGGUAGUGUUUCAGUCUGUAGUACUGUGUUUCUGUCUUCAUUUCCAUGUGUAUUUACUUCCAUUUAUGUUGUCACAGUUUUCCAGGCUCUUUUCCCAAUGACUAAAAUGCAUGUUUGAGCUGUUUUAACUGAAAGUAACUGACAUCUUACAAUUUGUCUGUGCUAUUGUUUUGUCUAAAGAUGAAUGCCAAUAAUGUUGUUGUUGGGUUUUUUUUAACCCCUUUCACAGACAAGGCUUAAAUCUAGUCCCAGACUAAAAUGUAUGUCUGAGCUGUUUUAACUGAAAACAUAUCUUAGCCAUUGUUUUGUCUUUAGAAAAACCCCAGUAAUGAUUGUUUUUUCUAAGGCAUGUUUAUAAAAGCUACUGAAAUAAUUGAACUAAGGUCUGAUCCUGGCUUAGCCUAAGCCCUGUCUGUGAAACCAGGUCUAUUUGUUUUUGUCACCAUGAAAUGCCAUUUUUCCAGCCACUUGUUUUUCCUGAAUGUGAUGUUAAUUCCUGUUCAAACAGUGUGUGGUUAUAAAUGAAUACAUUUGUAUGUAAACUGAAGGAAGUUGUAAAUUGUUCAUUAAAACCAUAUUAACUCCA